UACGUAGGGAGCAAGCGUUGUCCGGAAUCAUUGGGCGUAAAGCGCGCGUAGGUGGCCUCAUAAGUCCGCUGUGAAAGUCAAAGGCUCAACCUUUGAAAGCCGGUGGAUACUGUGAGGCUAGAGUACGGAAGAGGCGAGUGGAAUUCCUGGUGUAGCGGUGGAAUGCGCAGAUAUCAGGAAGAACACCCGUGGCGAAGGCGGCUCUCUGGGACGGUACUGACGCUGAGACGCGAAAGCGUGGGGAGCGAACAGG
rnacentral:rRNA from 1 species